rnacentral:tRNA from 1 species
UGGGUGGUAGCUCAGUGGUUAAGAGCACUGGCUGCACGUCCAGAGGACUUGGGUUCAAUUCCCAGCAACCAU